rnacentral:rRNA from 1 species
GUGAGGAAUAUUGGUCAAUGGGCGGAAGCCUGAACCAGCCAUCCCGCGUGAAGGAAGGCGGCCCUAUGGGUUGUAAACUUCUUUAGUACAUGAAGAACAGGAUCUACGCGUAGGUUUAUGACGGUAAUGUACAAAAAAGCAUCGGCUAACUCCGUGCCAGCAGCCGCGGUAAUACGGAGGAUGCGAGCGUUAUCCGGAUUCAUUGGGUUUAAAGGGUACGUAGGUGGCCCUGUAAGUCAGUGGUGAAAAUCUGCCGCUUAACGGUAGGGGUGCCAAUGAUACUGCGGGGCUUGAGUACAGUUGAGGUAGGUGGAAUGUGUAGUGUAGCGGUGAAAUGCAUAGAUAUUACACAGAACUCCGAUUGCGAAGGCAUCUUACUAAGCUGAAACUGACACUGAUGUACGAAAGCGUGGGGAUCGAACAGGAUUAGAAACCCUAGUAGUCC